rnacentral:snRNA from 1 species
AGAGGUGGACCAUAGACACGAAGGUGGUACUCCCUAGGCAAGGCUAGUCCACUGCACUCGGGAUGUGCUGACCCCUGUGAUCUCCCCACAUGGGGGAAACUCGUCU